AAAGCUUGGCUUUUGGAACUCUUUAUAGUACUAGCCUUCUUACCCCCUGAAAUAAGGAAAAUAUAAGAAUAACCGCCCACAGAGGCAUAUAAAACUCCUUUCCAUUUACCUCAUUUAUUCAUCUUAUUUAGGGAAAGCACAGUUCAGGGUGGGCAGUCUAGUUUAAGCCAUUGAGUCUAGUUUAAGCCGUUGUUCACCAUCAUGAUUUUAUAGCCUUUAGUUUUAUUCCCUGUCAGCCAUAGAUAUCCCCAGAGAUGCAAGAACUCAUGCAGGAAAACCCAUUUAAUUAGGACCCACUGUGAGGGACCAGGAAACAGACCCUAAAGCACUUUAUGACGGAAGCUGUUGAUCAGGAAACAGGAUGUUUUCCUUUCCCUGGGUUUAGGUCUGGCUUAUACUCCUUCGGGGAGAUCUGGGGGCCCAUCUCCAUCUCCACUGAAACAGAACCUGUAACCUUCCUAGAAUCAGGUUACCCUAGAGGGCAGUGACAUUUAUAUCUGCUUUUUUGUUUGUUCGUUGUUCUUUUUCCUAAGACGUGGCAGGUUUUGAACUCCUGGAUCUCGGCCCAGGGUCCUGGCAUGUUAGAUAUCUGCCAUUCUGAUGUGCGGAGGGCCUCCUGUCUGCACUCUCUCUGCCCCAUGGCUAGAGACAGCUCAUUCCGAGAGAUUUUUUUUAUAGGAAGGCAAAGCUCACCUAUCCCUAACAUGCAAAACUUUUCACUUGAGGAGGCGGGGAAACUGGUUUAGUAAAGAUCUUUGCAUGAAAUUGAAUCCAGUCCUUAUCAUCCUUCAUGUUCAACUCAAGUCCUUCUUCUGUCAUGAAGUCUUCCCCAACCAGAAGUGAUCUUUCUCUCUCCAUUAUAUCAGGGCCUUUUCCACAUUCCCACCUUUCCCCCCUCAUACUGUUGACUAGUUUUAUUUCUCAUUAGUGCUUUGCACCUAGUGCUCCUAGGUCCAUUUAAAGACCUAAAUGGCUGGGAUCACAUCUUCUACUUGGUUAUUUCCCCCACGGCACUCAAUCACUUAUAAACUGUGUUAAUUUUCCCCACAGUGCCUCACAUAGAGUGGUGCUCAAUUACAACUUACUAAGUCCAUUUGAAAAGAAAUAUGCUAUUGGUCAAGAAAUCUGUGUGCUGAGUGCUUCAAGGGACACAGGCAGUAUAAAUGAGACAUCCUGCCCUCAGGGAAUGUAUAGUCUGAGUGAGGGUAAGACAAAGCCACAUGGAAAGUCUACUAAUACAGGCCAGGUGCCAUGGCUUCCUGCAAUACAAGCACUUUGGGAGGCCAAGGUGAGAGGAUCACUUGAGGCCAGGAAUACGAGACCAGCCUGGGCAACAUAGUGAGACCCUGUCUCUACAAAAAACUUACCCAGGUAUGGUGGUGCAUGCCUGUAGUCCCGGCUACUCCAGAGGCUUAGGUAGGAAGACUGUUAGAGCCCAGGAGGUGAAGACUGCAGUGAGCAAAGAUCACACCACUGCACUCCAGCCUGGGUGACAGAGCAAGACCCUGUCUCUUUGGGAAAAAAAAAAAAAAAAAA
rnacentral:lncRNA from 1 species